UACAGAGGUCCCAAGCGUUGUUCGGAUUCACUGGGCGUAAAGGGUGCGUAGGUGGCUUGGAAAGUUUGAUGUGAAAGCUCAGGGCUUAACCCUGAAAUGGCAUUGAAUACUAUCGAGCUGGAGGUUUGGAGGGGGACUGGAAUUCUUGGUGUAGCAGUGAAAUGCGUAGAUAUCAAGAGGAACACCAGUGGCGAAGGCGAGUCCCUGGACAACACCUGACACUGAGGCACGAAAGCCGGGGGAGCAAACAGG
rnacentral:rRNA from 1 species